CAGUUGAUGAUAUCAUAGUUGCCAAAUGUAUAUUACCAAAGAAACGAUCUACACAAGUUCAUUUCGCUUUUAAUGUUAUUAUUGACACACGAAGUUCCCUUACCUCUUUUUCUAAAUUCUAAUGUAGAUCUUGAUAUUUAGAUAUAACCAAACUAUAUAAAAGAAAAAAAAAAAAAUUUCUAUGCUAGUGUGUAGAACGAGAAUCCAAUUUGUAGAGUAACUAAAUUAUAUUUGAUGAAAAUGGCGUGGUGAAAGCUACUUUCCACGUUUUAUAGGGCUCUGCAAGAAUGGAAGAUAGUUCAAAUUCCGGAAAUUUAUGGCAUAAAAGCAAAGUAGAGGAACAGCAGGCUGAUCUAUUUAACGGAGAAUCAACGACUGGGUCGGUAGAAGCUAAUUCUACUUCUUUAGCUGAUAUAUUUGAUACUGCAUUCUCGUCUACAGUUGAUCCAUCUCCGCAAUCUCGUUUUACUUCUGGAAAUGAGAUGGAGUACGAACAUUUAUUUGCAGAAAGUGAUAUCGAAGAAUCAGAGGUAGCACCUAUGGAAUCAUAUAAUGAUACGGCGCAUGCUAGUUCACAAAAUAGUUUUAUGUUCGGAGGCUACAUUACAUCUAAUACGAAUGGUAAUUCCAAUGAAUAUUGGCAAACUGAUACUUUAAAUUGUGAUAUGUGCCAAAACAGACAAGAGAGAACUUUUAAGAAAGAAUCAGUUACACGUCAGUUGAAUAGUGCUAGAGAAGAUAGAACUGGCGACACUUAUAGACAUAAAAGAAUUUUACACGAUCAAGAUGGAUCGGUGAAACAUAAAAAAAAAGAAAAUGAUGAACAAAAACGUAGAACUGAUCAACAAGUAGAUAACUUCAAUAUAGCUGGACCGUCUAGAACAUCAGAUUAUUACAAUUCUAACAGUUCCGUGAAAUCAUCAGAACAUAUUAAUGGUGUUAAUGGUGCUUUACAGACUGUUGAAAAUAGAAAUGUCAAUGAAUCUAACAAUUUAUGUCAUUCUGAUUUAUCUACUGUAAUAAACUCUCAAGAAGCACAUACAAAUAUAGCUCAAUCAUCAAGAAUUGAUGAUGCUCCAUCAGCACCAGAUUUACAAUUGGACUGGUCAUCCAGUAGCGAUAGUGACGAUGAAGAUGGAUCUAUAGAAGUACUUGGAACUGUAAAUCAUAAUGAAAAUUCUGUACAAAAUGACACUGAAGAAAAUCGUACAGUCACUUUGGUUGACUUAACCGCAGAAUCUGAUGAAGAACCACCACCUACAUCUACGUCAUUUAACAAUCCAGUAAAUCCAUGGACAGGAGAACACAUUCAAAGAACGCAUAUGUAUCACAAUCGACAUAUGUAUUAUCGUCAUCGAACUCCAACUUUACAUUCAAGAUAUAGUACGCUAGGAGAUACAACAACAGGAACUACAUCUUCUCGUAUGCAUCCUGUACAAGAAAGAUUAUGGAUGAAUCAACAACGUGUUCAAGAGGUUCAUAGAAGAAGACUUUAUCCAAGAUCUUCAUCGCAUCAUACCAGUUGUAUGCCACAGAAUACGCAUAUAAAUCAAACCGCAGAACAUGAACAUACUUAUGGGAAUUGUUUUCCUCCAACUCAUAUUCAUUCAACUACUCAUUGCAAUGGAAGUGAUGCUGUUCCAUUUGCUGAGAAUUAUAUCUCGCCUUCUCUUAUACCACCACGAUUAUUACCGUCUAGAGUCUUACCACCACCCCAACAACCAACUGUUUACAGUCAUCCAGAAGCAAGAGGACCACCAAAUUUUGCUCCUACUUGUGCACCAACUAUGAUGGUAAACCAUUUAAGUGAUGUAGAAGAAAUGGAACCUUCUCAGGAUAUGAUGACAUCAAUACCAGUUCAUCAACACGUUCAUCAUCAUAUGUAUCAUUAUGAUACACAUCCACAAAUACCUCAGCGUAUGCAUCAUGUUCAUAUAAUGCCUUCACGUAUGCAUCAUCUUCAUAUAAGUUUCUCUCCAAACUUGCAUACAUCUAUAACACGUGGAAAUACGUUACCAUCUACAGCAGGUUUACCAGAUUUAAUAUUACAUCAACCAAGGCAUAUGUCUGCACGUCUUGAAAAUUACAUGCGAAUCGUUGAUUUACGUCGUAUGGCUCAUAUAAGUUAUGGUGCCACUCAAGAAUCUAUCGAAAGUCACACAUUCCCACAUAAAUACAAACGGGUAAAAAAAGUAGAAAAUGGUGAAGAUGCAAUUGAAAAGUGUACAAUAUGUUUAUCAGAAUUUGAAGAUUGUGAAAGUGUGAGGAGGCUUCCAUGUAUGCAUUUAUUCCACAUAGAUUGCGUCGACCAAUGGUUAUGCACCAACAAACGUUGUCCUAUUUGUCGAGUAGAUAUCGAAACAUUUUUGCAAAAAGAAAUUAUUGUGUAGCUUUUGAUUAAUAAGCUCCAUCUGUUAUAUUUCACAUAUUACAUAAAAAAAAAAGAAAAAAAAAGAAAAAGGAAAGAAACUAACAGAUGUAUAUGCUUAGAAGGUUCUUUGAAGAACUUACUUUUUUAAUAGUACAACGCGUACAGGAAUUUGUCUACCAAAAAGAACUUGAAUUGAAAAAAAAAAGAAAAGAAAAGAAAGUUAGAAGAACGAUUACAAAAAGAAAGUACUUCCCUCUUUUCAAGAUUUUUAUCUAAUUCGAAUUGUUUUUUAUAUAAAAGUUAUGUCACGAAUAUUGUUUGUGACUAUUCUUAAUAGUAUAUCGAGAUCUAAAUGUAUAUUAUGUGCUACACAAUAAAAAAUAAUAUUGUUUUUAUAUUGAUAUUUAUAUAGAAAAUUAUAUAAUUAAAAUCUAAGUUACUGCUAGAAAGUAACAUCUAAUUAAACAAAUUACUUCUUGCUUAAUUUUUCGUAUUCAAUUUAUGAUAAUAAUAUGGUAUUUACUGUGGUGCUAACUUUAUAAAAAGAAUUAUAUCUGAAAGACAUAUAAUGCGUAAUUAAUAAAGACAAAAAUUAAAGCUAUCCUGUAAUUAUACAAUUUUCAUAACUAU